UACAGAGGUCUCAAGCGUUGUUCGGAUUCACUGGGCGUAAAGGGUGCGUAGGUGGCAUAGAAAGUUUGAUGUGAAAGCUCAGGGCUUAACCCUGAAAUGGCAUUGAAUACUGCUGUGCUGGAGGUUUGGAGGGGGGACUGGAAUUCUUGGUGUAGCAGUGAAAUGCGUAGAUAUCAAGAGGAACACCAGUGGCGAAGGCGAGUCCCUGGACAACACCUGACACUGAGGCACGAAAGCUAGGGGAGCAAACAGG
rnacentral:rRNA from 1 species